rnacentral:rRNA from 1 species
UUUGUAGAAUGAACCGGCGAGUUACGAUUUGUUGCAAGGUUAAGCGGAAAAAGCGGAGCCGUAGCGAAAGCGAGUCUGAAUAGGGCGCAUAAGUAACAGGUCGUAGACCCGAAACCAGGUGAUCUACCCAUGUCCAGGAUGAAGGUAAGGUAAUACUUACUGGAGGUCCGAACCCACGCACGUUGAAAAGUGCGGGGAUGAGGUGUGGGUAGCGGAGAAAUUCCAAUCGAACUUGGAGAUAGCUGGUUCUCUCCGAAAUAGCUUUAGGGCUAGCCUCGAGGUAAAGAGUCAUGGAGGUAGAGCACUGUUUGGACUAGGGGCCCUUCUCGGGUUACCGAAUUCAGAUAAACUCCGAAUGCCAUGUACUUAUACUCGGGAGUCAGACUGCGAGUGAUAAGAUCCGUAGUCGAAAGGGAAACAGCCCAGACCACCAGUUAAGGUCCCCAAAUAUAUGUUAAGUGGAAAAGGAUGUGGGGUUGCUUAGACAACCAGGAUGUUGGCUUAGAAGCAGCCACCAUUGAAAGAGUGCGUAAUAGCUCACUGGUCGAGUGACCCCGCGCCGAAAAUGUACCGGGGCUAAACAUAUUACCGAAACUGUGGAUGAACCUCUUUAGAGGUUCGUGGUAGGAGAGCGUUCUAAGGGCGGUGAAGUCAGACCGGAAGGACUGGUGGAGCGCUUAGAAGUGAGAAUGCCGGUAUGAGUAGCGAAAGAAGGGUGAGAAUCCCUUCCACCGAAUAUCUAAGGUUUCCUGAGGAAGGCUCGUCCGCUCAGGGUUAGUCGGGACCUAAGCCGAGGCCGAUAGGCGUAGGCGAUGGACAACAGGUAGAGAUUCCUGUACCAGUGCUAAUUGUUUAACCGAUGGGGUGACACAGAAGGAUAGGGAAUCGCACGAAUGGAAAUGUGCGUCCAAGCAGUGAGUGUGAGAAGUAGGCAAAUCCGCUUCUCGCGAAGCAUGAGCUGUGAUGGGGAAGGAAAUUAAGUACGGAAGUUCCUGAUUUCACGCUGUCAAGAAAAGCCUCUAGGAAGAGUAGUACUGCCCGUACCGCAAACCGACACAGGUAGAUGAGGAGAGAAUCCUAAGGUGAGCGAGAGAACUCUCGUUAAGGAACUCGGCAAAAUGACCCCGUAACUUCGGGAGAAGGGGUGCUCUAUUAGGGUGCAAGCCCGAGAGAGCCGCAGUGAAUAGGCCCAGGCGACUGUUUAGCAAAAACACAGGUCUCUGCAAAACCGUAAGGUGACGUAUAGGGGCUGACGCCUGCCCGGUGCUGGAAGGUUAAGAGGAGUGCUUAGCUUCGGCGAAGGUACGAAUUGAAGCCCCAGUAAACGGCGGCCGUAACUAUAACGGUCCUAAGGUAGCGAAAUUCCUUGUCGGGUAAGUUCCGACCCGCACGAAAGGCGCAACGAUCUGGGCACUGUCUCAACGAGAGACUCGGUGAAAUUAUAGUACCUGUGAAGAUGCAGGUUACCCGCGACAGGACGGAAAGACCCCGUGGAGCUUUACUGCAACCUGAUAUGGAAUGUUUGUACCGCUUGUACAGGAUAGGUAGGAGCCGAAGAGACGUGUGCGCUAGCAUACGAGGAGGCAAUGGUGGGAUACUACCCUGGCUGUAUGACCAUUCUAACCCGCCACGCUUAGCGCGUGGGGAGACAGUGUCAGGUGGGCAGUUUGACUGGGGCGGUCGCCUCCUAAAGAGUAACGGAGGCGCCCAAAGGUUCCCUCAGAAUGGAUGGAAAUCAUUCGCAGAGUGUAAAGGCACAAGGGAGCUUGACUGCGAGACUGACAAGUCGAGCAGGGACGAAAGUCGGGCUUAGUGAUCCGGUGGUUCCGCAUGGAAGGGCCAUCGCUCAACGGAUAAAAGCUACCCCGGGGAUAACAGGCUUAUCUCCCCCAAGAGUCCACAUCGACGGGGAGGUUUGGCACCUCGAUGUCGGCUCGU